CACGUAGGGGGCGAGCGUUGUCCGGAUUCAUUGGGCGUAAAGCGCGCGCAGGCGGCUCGGAAAGUCGGGUGUGAAAACCUGGGGCCCAACCCCGGGCGUGCAUCCGAUACUGCCGGGCUUGAGGCAGGUAGGGGAGAUCGGAAUUCCUGGUGUAGCGGUGAAAUGCGCAGAUAUCAGGAGGAACACCGGUGGCGAAGGCGGAUCUCUGGGCCUGUCCUGACGCUGAGACGCGAAAGCGUGGGGAGCGAACAGG
rnacentral:rRNA from 1 species